GACGAACGCUGGCGGCGUGCUUAACACAUGCAAGUCGAACGAUGAAGCCGGAGCUUGCUCUGGUGAAUUAGUGGCGGACGGGUGAGUAACACGUGAGUAACCUGCCCUUGACUCUGGGAUAACUGCUAGAAAUGGUAGCUAAUACCGGAUACGACCCUCGGAGGCAUCUUCAGGGGGUGGAAAGAAUUUCGGUCAAGGAUGGACUCGCGGCCUAUCAGCUAGUUGGUGAGGUAAUGGCUCACCAAGGCGACGACGGGUAGCCGGCCUGAGAGGGUGACCGGCCACACUGGGACUGAGACACGGCCCAGACUCCUACGGGAGGCAGCAGUGGGGAAUAUUGCACAAUGGGCGCAAGCCUGAUGCAGCAACGCCACGUGAGGGAUGACGGCCUUCGGGUUGUAAACCUCUUUUAGUAGGGAAGAAGCGAAAGUGACGGUACCUGCAGAAAAAGCACCGGCUAACUACGUGCCAGCCGCCGCAGUAA
rnacentral:rRNA from 1 species